rnacentral:tRNA from 1 species
UUACAUCUUGGUGUAUGGGGCACGUUGGCUUUUGAUGCUUGUGGUGACAGUUUAAUUCUGUUAGGUGUAAU